rnacentral:rRNA from 1 species
CAGUCGCCGCGGGAAUACGUAGGGUGCGAGCGUUAAUCGGAAUUACUGGGCGUAAAGCGUGCGCAGGCGGUUUUGUAAGACAGAGGUGAAAUCCCCGGGCUCAACCUGGGAACUGCCUUUGUGACUGCAAGGCUAGAGUACGGCAGAGGGGGAUGGAAUUCCGCGUGUAGCAGUGAAAUGCGUAGAUAUGCGGAGGAACACCGAUGGCGAAGGCAAUCCCCUGGGCCUGUACUGACGCUCAUGCACGAAAGCGUGGGGAGUAAACAGGAUUAGAUACCCCCGUAGUCCCUGUCUCUUAUAC